rnacentral:lncRNA from 1 species
GCCACUUUCAUUUAGUAAAAUUAAAAUUUGGCCUAUGAAAUAAAAACAUUAAAAAUUGGCCAGUUUUUGUGUAAAAGUACAAAAUUACCCCUUACUUUAAAAUUUAAAAAAAUGGCCAGUCACUAUUCACUCAAUCCUCUCUCUCUCACAAUCCAAAUCGAAACACACACACACGACUCAAAUCUGUCGACUCCCUCUCCUCAAGGUCCCGCCGCCGCCUGAAAUUCCUGGCGAGGCGGCUCUUCCGGCGACGUCGCCGUCGAUUGCCGUCGUUCUCCUUCUUUCUCAUCUCCUCCGGCGACCACAACUCCUGCUACAGCCGCCGCUCUCAACAACUCCCCCUCUCUGCUCGAGCUCCGGCGCUUGAGCCCUAGCUCCCCCAGAUCCAGUGGCUCUCACCCCUACCCUCUCUGCUACACGGCGCUCUCUGACAUUCUCACCGAGGACGGCGUCGCCGAUGGCGCUCAGUCGCCUUUUCCUGAAUCCUAUUUCGACAGCGCGAGCCCUAGCCCCAAUUUCGGAGUAGUGAUUGAAGAAUUUUCCAGCGUCUGAGGAGGAUUGAAGAAUUUCGAUCUAAUGUGAUCAAAGCUGUAGUGAUUUUGUCGAGAUUGAAGAAUUUCGAUCUAUUUUUCCUUCACAAUUUAUGUCGAGAGUUUUGUUUUAGCUUUGAUGAAUGAGAAAUAGAUGUGAGGGAUAGGCUGAGGAAGGAGGUGUUGGUGCCGCUGUGGAUCGGAGGGCGCUUCAGCUGCCGGAGGUGUAUCUUGAGGGAGUAGUGAAUUUUUAAGAUACCAACUUUGAAAUUAUUGCCCAGCAAUAUUCGUUUGUUUUGGUUGUUGGCAAAAUUUAGGAGUUCAUGAUUUUGAUUGUAUUGUAAUGAUAAUUAAUUAAUAUAUUUAACUGAUAUUUUGAGAGUGUAUAGAUCGAUUGAAAGAUAAAGAGAUUUUGGACAAUUGAUUAAAGUUCUUGAAUUCAC